rnacentral:tRNA from 1 species
UAUAAAGUGCCUGACAAAAGGAUUAUUUCGAUAAAAUAAAUCAUAUAUAUAAAUUAUAUCUUUAUUA